rnacentral:lncRNA from 1 species
AAACGUUCUACAUAAAACGAAAUUUAAAAAAUUUUAAAUUCAAUAACAUCCAAAUCCAUUGUAAAAACAGAGAGAAAAAAAUAUGAUUAAAAGUGAUACCAGUUGGCAAUCUUUAUUUUUUGUUCCUUGACUAGAAGUGGUUAAUUUUUGUUUUCCCUUAAAUUUGGCAUUCGCCAAAGUAUCAGACCUUUUUUCUCAUUCUGUGUAAAAACACGAUAAAAACAAACGUAAUAUUAAAUGAGACAAACCAAAAACAUGUUGACAAAUCAAACGUUCUACAUAAAACGAAAUUUAAAAUUUUUUAAAUUAAAUAACAUCCAAAUCCAUUUUUAAAACAGAGAGUAAAGAAUAGGAUUAAAAAUGAUACCAGUUGGCAAUUUCCUUGGGUAGAAGAGGUUGAUUUUUGUUUCCCUUUAAAUUUGGCAUUCGCCAAAGCAUCAGACUGUUGUUUCUCCUUCUGUGUAAGAACACGAUAAAAAAAAUAAGUAAUAUUAAUUGAGACAAACCAAAAACAUGUUGACAAAUCAAACGUUCUACAUAAAACGAUACUUAAAAUUUUUUAAAUUUAAUAACAUCCAAAUCCAUUGUAAAAACAGAGAGAAAAGAAUAGGAUUAAAAGUGAUACAAGUUGGCAAUCUUUAUAUUUUGUUCCUUGGCUAGAAGAGGUUGAUUUUUCUUUCUGCUUAAAUUUGGCAUUUGCCAAAGCAUCGGACCUUUUUUUCUCCUUCUGUGUAAGAAAACGCUACUUAAAAGCAAAAAAAAAAAAAAUGAAUGAGAAAAAGGUGUGAGUUUACACUACCUCACGUAUACAGAGACAAUUUAGUUCAUACUCAUUGCGAAUUACCACUCCUACAUUAUUAUGACGAAGUCUUCAAACCUGUAGACAAAAAAACGUUGAAUAGUAAAUAAGCUGGUAAAAAGAUAAGAUAAAAAGUAAGAAAGUGAGAGUAAGAAAAAAUUAUCAUACGUUAUUUUUUAGGUCGUCAUCCAUCUGUCACGACAUUAAUGAAAAUAAAUUAAAAUAAAUAAGUUAUUAAAAAAAUCAAUAAGAGAGUUAAUCAGAUGAUAAACUUACACUACGAAAUAUAGCAUCAUCCAUUGGUCGAUGAAUGUGCAGUUGAAACAGUUGUAGCUACACAGUAAAUUUCAUAAGAUAUGGAUAAUGAACAUCAAUUACAUAAUACAUGCACAAAAGUUUCAUAAGAUAUGGAUAAUGAACAUCAAUUUCAUAAGAUAUGGAUAAGUUUUGUAGACAGGUUUAGAUUUUUCUGAAUAUCUAUUUUUAAAAGAAACUCUGCCGAAUUUUUUUGAAAUUAGUAGCGACUAGCUUGAUGUUUUGGUGGUUGGAUAUGUGUUGAUGAUUGAGUAUGUAUUAAUUAUUGUGAUGGUAUGGUGAAUUAUGAUAAUUGUUAUGUCUGAUUGUAAGUUAUUUUAGGUUGCAAAGAGUCUUUAGGUAAUGUAUUUUUCGUUACGACGUGCCUGCAUGCACGGGCAAUUACUAGUUUUUUAAUAAAAUAAGAAAAUCAUUUCAUUUACCUGUCGCAUGUACUCUUUAGUUGUCAGUACCAAUUCAUGGUAAGACAACCCAUCUAGGAAGCAC